rnacentral:lncRNA from 1 species
AUGCACCUCCCGGAGCCCCAGCACUGGCUGUCCUCCCUUGAGUCCACACCUGCCACCUCCAGGAGGGCCUCAGGGAAGAGCCCCCGUGAACAAGCCCCCCAGAGCAGCACUUCUCAAGGCUUCCUUUGGCCCAGGGUCCCCAGUGGGAGCUCACAGUUGCCAGACACCCCCUGGGGCUCCUGGGCGCACACGGGUGCCUGUCUCACUGCAGACUGUGGGCCUGACCAUCUCUGUGGCAAGGCCCUGGACCCACAUCUUGCAGUAGGCCUGGUCAGCCUCCUGGCUGCAUCCAGCUCAGGGGCAGAGGGGGAGUUGGGGGCUCUGAUCUCCCAUACGCCAUUCCAGGGACCUGUGGGACCUUCUCAAGGACCCCACAGCCCAAGUGUCCAAGCACUGUCCCCACCUCCGUCCCACUCUCCUUCUGCCCUUCUGGUCCUCUGGGUCUAUCCCAGGCUGACCCCAGAACACCUUACUCUGUCCCAAGGAGGCCCAGGUAUCCCUCAGCCUCUGGCCCUGCUGUGGGCUGUGCUGCCUCCUGAUCCCCUAUCCCUGCCAACCCCCAGCUCUGUUGCCUCUCAUGGGGCCUCAUGCACCAGCCCCUUCUGCUCCCCAGUGGCUUCAGCACAUGGCCACAUGCCCCAGCCCGCUCCUGUCACCUUCUCAUGGUGUCAUUCUUGCCUCUGCUCCUGCAAGGCUUACCUGACUGCACUGGUGCUAGCAAACAUACCACCCCAGAGUCCAUGGGGCAAGCCUCUCCACCCACUGGGACCCCUGCCCUCACUCCCUCCCUACCUUGUUGGCUCUCCCUCCACCGCCUCACCUGCACACUCAGGACUCUCCCGUCCCCGCCUGCUGACAGUUCUCACUCAGAUAUGGGUCCUACUUCCUUUUCUGCUAACUCCAGGGACCCUCCCCUGCAGGACCCUUCCCACUCCUCACGGGCUCACUCCAGGAAGCCCCCUAUCUGAAGCACGGGGCCCUGAAGGAAACUUGCACUUCAUCUCCAGCUCAGAACCCCCUCCCCACAAGCUGCUCACUUUCUCAGCUCCAACCCCACCCACCUCCUCCCGACAGGGUUCUGGGCAGGGUUUCUCAUCCAGUCUCCUUGUCCUAGUUCUCUCAGCGUGUGACCUCGUCCAUCCCCUCCUUCUUCCCGGUCCCUAG